GCAAGUCGAGCGGAGAAAUGGGAGCUUGCUCCCAUUUCUCAGCGGCGGACGGGUGAGUAACACGUGGGCAACCUGCCCUACAGACUGGGAUAACUCCGGGAAACCGGAGCUAAUACCGGGUAAUACGUAGCAUCGCAUGAUGCAACGUUGAAAGUUGGCCUUUGGCUAACACUGUAGGAUGGGCCCGCGGCGCAUUAGCUAGUUGGUAAGGUAACGGCUUACCAAGGCCACGAUGCGUAGCCAACCUGAGAGGGUGAUCGGCCACACUGGGACUGAGACACGGCCCAGACUCCUACGGGAGGCAGCAGUAGGGAAUCUUCCGCAAUGGACGAAAGUCUGACGGAGCAACGCCGCGUGAGUGACGAAGGCCUUCGGGUCGUAAAGCUCUGUUGUUAGGGAAGAACAAGUACCGUUCGAAUAGGGCGGUACCUUGACGGUACCUAACCAGAAAGCCACGGCUAACUACGUGCCAGCAGCCGCGGUAAUACGUAGGUGGCAAGCGUUGUCCGGAAUUAUUGGGCGUAAAGCGCGCGCAGGCGGUCUCUUAAGUCUGAUGUGAAAGCCCACGGCUCAACCGUGGAGGGCCAUUGGAAACUGGGGGACUUGAGUGCAGAAGAGGAGAGUGGAAUUCCACGUGUAGCGGUGAAAUGCGUAGAUAUGUGGAGGAACACCAGUGGCGAAGGCGGCUCUCUGGUCUGUAACUGACGCUUAGGCGCGAAAGCGUGGGGAGCAAACAGGAUUAGAUACCCUGGUAGUCCACGCCGUAAACGAUGAGUGCUAGGUGUUGGGGGGGUUCCACCCUCAGUGCUGAAGUUAACACAUUAAGCACUCCGCCUGGGGAGUACGACCGCAAGGUUGAAACUCAAAGGAAUUGACGGGGGCCCGCACAAGCAGUGGAGCAUGUGGUUUAAUUCGAAGCAACGCGAAGAACCUUACCAGGUCUUGACAUCCUCUGCCACUCCUAGAGAUAGGACGUUCCCCUUCGGGGGACAGAGUGACAGGUGGUGCAUGGUUGUUCGUCAGCUCGUGUCGUGAGAUGUUGGGUUAAGUCCCGCAACGAGCGCAACCCUUGAUCUUAGUUGCCAGCAUUCAGUUGGGCACUCUAAGGUGACUGCCGGUGACAAACCGGAAGAA
rnacentral:rRNA from 2 species